rnacentral:rRNA from 1 species
ACAAGCAGCGGAGCGUGUGGUUUAAUUCGUAUGUUACACGAAGAACCUUACCUGGGUUUGACAUGCUAGUGGUAAUGAAGCGAAAGCUAAGUGACCGCAAGGAGCUAGCACAGGUGCUGCAUGGCUGUCGUCAGCUCGUGUCGUGAAAUGUUCGGUUAAGUCCGCUAACGAGCGCAACCCUCGCUGUGUGUUACAAGUGUCACACAGGACCGCCGGUCUUAAGCCGGAGGAAGGUGGGGAUGACGUCAAGUCAGCAUGGCCUUUAUGUCCAGGGCUACACACACGCUACAAUGGUCAGCACAAUAGGUAGCCAAGCCGCGAGGUGGAGCCAAUCCUCAAAGCUGGCCUCAGUUCAGAUCGCAGGCUGCAACCCGCCUGCGUGAAGCCGGAGUUGCUAGUAACCGCAGGUCAGCUAUACUGCGGUGAAUACGUUCCCGGGCUU